GACGAACGCUGGCGGCGUGCCUAAUACAUGCAAGUUGAGCGCUGAAGGUUGGUACUUGUACCGACUGUAUGUGCAGCGAACGUGUGAAUAACGCGUGGGAAAUCUGCUUUUGAGCGGGGGAACACCUUUGGAAACGAAUGAUAAUACCGCAUAAAAACUUUAAACACAAGUUUUAAGUUUGAAAGAUGCAAUUGCAUCACUCAAAGAUGAUCCCGCGUUGUAUUAGCUAGUUGGUGAGGUAAAGGCUCACCAAGGCGAUGAUACAUAGCCGACCUGAGAGGGUGAUCAGCCACAGUGGGACUGAGACACGGCCCAAACUCCUACGGGAGGCAGCAGUAGUGCAUCUGCGGCAAUGGACGAAAGUCUGACCGAGCAACGCCGCGUGAGUGAAGAAGGUUUUCGGAUCGUAAAACUCUGUUGGUAGAGAAGAACGUUGGUGAGAGUGGAAAGCUCAUCAAGUGACGGUAACUACCCAGAAAGGGACGGCUAACUACGUG
rnacentral:rRNA from 1 species